rnacentral:rRNA from 1 species
GCCAGACUCCUACGGGAGGCAGCAGUGGGGGAUAUUGCACAAUGGGGGGAACCCUGAUGCAGCGACGCCGCGUGGGUGAAGGAGCGUUUCGGCGCGUAAAGCCCUAUCAGCAGGGAAGAAAUUGACGGUACCUGAGUAAGAAGCUCCGGCUAAAUACGUGCCAGCAGCCGCGGUAAUACGUAUGGAGCAAGCGUUAUCCGGAUUUACUGGGUGUAAAGGGAGCGUAGGCGGCCUGCCAAGUCUGAUGUGAAAUACCGGGGCUCAACCCCGGGGCUGCAUUGGAAACUGGCAGGCUGGAGUGUCGGAGAGGCAGGCGGAAUUCCUAGUGUAGCGGUGAAAUGCGUAGAUAUUAGGAGGAACACCAGUGGCGAAGGCGGCCUGCUGGACGAUGACUGACGCUGAGGCUCGAAAGCGUGGGGAGCAAACAGGAUUAGAUACCCGAGUA